UACGUAGGGUGCGAGCGUUGCCCGGAUUUAUUGGGCGUAAAGGGCGCGCAGGCGGCUACGCACGUCCGUUGUGAAAUCGCUCGGCUCAACUGGGCGGGGUCAGCGGAUACGGCGUAGCUGGAGCAAGCUAGGGGGCAAUGGAAUUCCCGGUGUAGUGGUGGAAUGCGUAGAUAUCGGAGGAACACCAGUGGCGAAGGCGGUUGCCUGGAGCUUUGCUGACGCUGAGGCGCGAAAGCGUGGGGAGCGAUCCGG
rnacentral:rRNA from 1 species